UACGGAGGAUGCAAGCGUUAUCCGGAAUGAUUGGGCGUAAAGCGUCCGCAGGUGGCAAUGUAAGUCUGCUGUCAAAGCGUCUGGCUCAACCAGAUAAAGGCAGUGGAAACUACAUAGCUAGAGUAAGGUAGAGGCAGAUGGAAUUCCGGGUGUAGCGGUGGAAUGCGUAGAGAUCCGGAAGAACACCGGUGGCGAAGGCGGUCUGCUGGGCAGUUGCUGACACUGAGGCGCGACAGCGUGGGGAGCAAACAGG
rnacentral:rRNA from 1 species